GCUGAUGAAGGAGAGAUCUUUGAAUUGCUUGCAAGAUCAUUUGCCUGGGGCCCAUGUUCCCCACAGUCCAUCUCUGUCCCAUCUUGCCUGCCACCCUCGCUCCCCUGUGGCCACCAUGCAGUGCCAGCCCCACACCCCAGCCUUCUCUGGCCAAUCCUCUGUCUCGCACUGAGCCAACACUGAUAGCUUUUCUGCCUGCCUGGGGAUGUUGGAGCAGCCUGAGCAGCUUAUGCAGGGAUCUUCUGGUCUUUUUAUCCCCUAGCCAGGGGCCAAGACAGAGAUGGCAUUAAGUGGACUGGUGUCGCUGAUGGCUUCAAAAUGGCUUCCCUUUGCCCAGGCUCCCCAGCUCUUCGCUGUUUGCUUUCUGCAGAUGUUAGAGCGAUGGAGCCUGGUUUGCAUGAACGCCCAUGAAAAGUCCAUUUGAAGUUUGCACGCUCGAAUACUGCCAUAUAGCAGAAGUGCUGGGCUGAGAUGACAAAGCUCUACCAGAGCCUCGAGCUUAAACCUAAUGAGGGACAAAAAUUCUUCAUCCGCCACUGCUGUGACCAUUUCUCUUCAAUCUAUGUUCUGCAAUUACUACAUUUAAAAGGGACACUGCUUAACACAGUGGGGGUUCAAGUUCAUUGGGAAACUUUUCUAGAGCCCAUGCACACAGGCAAGUGAAUGAGGUUUUGACUGUGCUUGAAGCAGCAGGUGCCAUUAUUUCAAGUGAAUGUAAUAAAAAGACUUCAUUUCAGCUCUGCACAGAGACAGCAGACUGCAGUACCACCAUUUUUCUAAGGCUGAAGCUUUGAGAAAUACCCCUCAGGUUUUAUCCAGCAAGAUAAAAUUUUUGUUAUCAACCCUCUUCCCCUGAUCACAAAAUUUGCAUUCCUGUGGAUAGAGGGGAAAAACCACAAAGCUGUCUGAUACUACUCAUGAUGAACUCAGCUCUCUUUUGAACAGGCAGGUUGAAAUACUUGUAGCAGACCCUUCACAGUCUAUCUGACCUGUUAGGAAAGAAGAAAGAUAAUAAAUUGGACAAGUAAAUUUGAAUUACAAAUAAAUUAGAGGAAGCCACAAUCAAGGUACUGACAUUCGGUAAGUGAAAAAAAGAAAGCUUUUGUGCAGGUAAAUUAUCUACUGUGAAUUAUUUACUCAGCUCUGCUGUGAAGAGCUCUCAGGAUCGGGCAGACACAAGCAGAUACUUUGUUUGCUGGUUCAGAUUUCUGGUCCUGAGAAUCAAUCUUUGACCAUUAAAGAAACACUGCUGCCUCUUCAAGUGUAAUUUAUUCAAUAAGAGGCUCUUCUUUCUCUUUUUUUCUGGAUGGAUGCUGCAGAGAUUCUUGAUUUUCAUUUGUCUUUGUCUGGAAAUGUGAAAUAAGUUUGCCAUAUUGACCAUUUCAUGCAAAUGUCUCAAUAUAUUCAUAUAUUCUUUUGGAUAUGGGAUUGUGAAGGAAUCUGCUGACUUUGAGACUGCUGUUAAAAAUGGAGAUAAACCUGCUGAAGAUGAUUUAACUCUAUUUCUGCACAGCAGAUCCCUCUUGCAUAUUUCCUUAAAGCCCAUGAGAUCAUCUGCUGCCUGUUAAUGGAAAGCAGUUUAUUUUGAAGGAGGAAGAACUGACAGAUUUUCAUUCCCAUGAACUGUAUAAGAAAUCUAACAAACCAAAUGCAGAUGGAUCAAUACAGGUUGUUCUUUAUUUAUCACCCUCUGUCUUC